CUCUUACUUCAGCAACACAUAGACUAAAAUUGGAACGAUACAGAGAAAAUUAGCAUGGCCCCUGCCCAAGGAUGACACGCAAAUUCGUGAAGCAUUCCAUAUUUAA
rnacentral:snRNA from 1 species